GAUGAACGCUGGCGGCGUGCCUAAUACAUGCAAGUCGAGCGAACGGACGAGAAGCUUGCUUCUCUGAUGUUAGCGGCGGACGGGUGAGUAACACGUGGAUAACCUACCUAUACGACUGGGAUAACUUCGGGAAACCGGAGCUAAUAACGGUUGAUAUUUUGAACCGCAUGGUUCAAAAGUGUAAGACGGUCUUUCUUUCGCUUAUAGAUGGAUCCGCGCUGCAUUAGCUAGUUGGUAAGGUAACGGCGUACCAAGGCAAUGAUGCCUCGACGACCUGAGAGGGUGAUCGGCCACCCCGGAACUGAGACACGAACCAGUCUCCUACGGGAGGCAGCAGCAGGGAGUCUUCCGAAAUGGGCGAAUACCUGACGCAGCACCGCCGCGUGGUUGAUGAAGGUCUUCGUCUCGUAAAACUCUGUUAUCAGGGAAGAACAUAUGUGUAAGUACCUGUGCACAUCUUGACGGUACCUAAUCAGAAAGCCACGGCUAACUACGUG
rnacentral:rRNA from 1 species